AUUGAACGCUAGCGGGAUGCUUAACACAUGCAAGUCGAACGAGUGGCGGACGGGUGAGUAAUAUAUCGGAACGUGCCCAGUAGAGGGGGAUAACUACUCGAAAGAGUGGCUAAUACCGCAUACCAUUCGAGCGGCCCAUAUCGGAUUAGCUAGUUGGUGGGGUAAAGGCUCACCAAGGCAACGAUCCCUAGCUGGUCUGAGAGGACGACCAGCCACACUGGGACUGAGACACGGCCCAGACUCCUACGGGAGGCAGCAGUGGGGAAUUUUGCACAAUGGGCGAAACCCUGAUGCAGCCAUCCCGCGUGUAUGAGAAGGCCUUCGGGUUGUAAAGUACUGUUGGCAGAGAAGCGGUAUCUGCAGAAUAAGCACCGGCUAACUACGUGCCAGCAGCCGCGGUAAUAC
rnacentral:rRNA from 1 species